UGUGAAUCCAAAUACGUUGACCUGUUUGUAUGUAUGUUCUUGUCUUACUUUUUAGAUGACUAGAACAGCUCUACUGGUAUUCUUCAUGACAGUAAUAGUCGCUCAAAUAUAUGGAAAGUCAAUUACAAGAUCUCAACCGGAUAUAGAGACUGAAUGUUGGGAACUUUGCUCUAUGGACUUCGAGAAAUGUCGAGAGUUUUAUAUGUGUCCAAAGAUACAUGACGAAUUCGGCGAAGCUCAACAAUGUUCAUCCUGUGCAAAAAGAUCUAUUGCCUGUCUG
rnacentral:lncRNA from 1 species